AUUGAACGCUGGCGGCAGGCUUAACACAUGCAAGUCGAGCGGGGUGAUGGUGCUUGCACUAUCACUUAGCGGCGGGCGGGUGAGUAAUGCUUAGGAAUCUGCCUAUUAGUGGGGGACAACAUCUCGAAAGGGAUGCUAAUACCGCAUACGUCCUACGGGAGAAAGCAGGGGAUCACUUGUGACCUUGCGCUAAUAGAUGAGACUAUGUCGGAUUAGCUAGUUGGUGGGGUAAAGGCCUACCAAGGCGACGAUCUGUAGCGGGUCUGAGAGGAUGAUCCGCCACACUGGGACUGAGACACGGCCCAGACUCCUACGGGAGGCAGCAGUGGGGAAUAUUGGACAAUGGGGGGAACCCUGAUCCAGCCAUGCCGCGUGUGUGAAGAAGGCCUUAUGGUUGUAAAGCACUUUAAGCGAGGAGGAGGCUCUUUUGGUUAAUACCCAAGAUGAGUGGACGUUACUCGCAGAAUAAGCACCGGCUAACUCUGUGCCAGCAGCCGCGGUAA
rnacentral:rRNA from 1 species